AAUAUUCCGACCGUCGACAACUGAAAAGCCACAUAUAUUUUUCCUCUUCCGAACCGACGUGGUCUCAAGAACAGCGUGAUAGUCAAGAUGAAGGCUUUUACCUGCUUGGUUCUUCUGGUGUGCCUGGGUGUCGUCUUCGGAGACGCAGCCAUGGAAGAGUCUCCACGGCAAUUUGAUGCGAAAACUGACGAUCUUGAGUCCCGUCAAGCGUGUGAUCCGUGGAAUCCACAUAGUUGCCCUUACCCCCUUGUUUGCAACCAUCCUGGCUUCUGUGGUCGCCAAUAUGAUUAAACACGCCGUCUGCAUAAAGUGCGUUGAUGGCCGCCAAAAAAAAAAACACGAUACCGAUGAGUCAGACGCUGAUAUGAAGCUUUGACCGACAGAAUUUAUUUGUUUCUGGUGGUGGGAUGCAUGUUAAUCUAUUAAUGGAACAAUUUCAGCUAUGUCCCUCAACAUUUCGGCUACAGAACAAAAUAAGAAAUCUUAACUAAACGUUUUUAAUGGAUGUGAAAACUAGGUGUAUACUCUCAGCAGGACAUGAGUUCAAUUGAAUAAAAAGAAACACUAUAAGUUUCACAAUAAUAUCCGAAAUGCCGCUAAUGAAAACUAUCCAGAAAAUAUACUCUUAUAGAUGAACAACAUCCGUAUUCCAAAAUUUGAACAUAAUUGUAUUAUUUGUCAAGAUUUCUUUAUUUCUGCUUUUAAUCUGAUGUAGUAAUACAAUGCAUGAACUCAGCAAUGAAUAAAAUUAUCGAAAGAUUUA